GCAGUGGUGUAAUGGUAUCAUGCUGCAAUGUUACUUACUAUGAUUAUUAAGCUAUGGGUUCAAUUCCCACUAGGUACA
rnacentral:tRNA from 1 species